GACGAACGCUGGCGGCGUGCUUAACACAUGCAAGUCGAACGGAAAGGCCCUGCUUUUGCGGGGUGCUCGAGUGGCGAACGGGUGAGUAACACGUGAGUAAACCGCCCUUGACUUUGGGAUAAAUUUAGGAAACUGGGGCUAAUACCGGAUAGGAGCUACUGCUGCACGGUGGGGGUUGGAAAGUUUCGGCGGUUGGGGAUGGACUCGCGGCUUAUCAGCUUGUUGGUGGGGUAGUGGCUUACCAAGGCUUUGACGGGUAGCCGGCCUGGGAGGGUGACCGGCCACAUUGGGACUGAGGUACGGCCCAGUCUCCUACGGGCGGCAGCAGUGGGGAAUAUUGCACAAUGGGCGGAAGCCUGAUGCAGCGGCGCCGCGUGCGGGAUGACGGCCUUCGGGUUGUAAACCGCUUUCGCCUGUGACGAGGCGUGAGUGACGGUAAUGGGUAAAGAAGCACCGGCUAACUACGUG
rnacentral:rRNA from 1 species